CAGUUCCAAUUCUCUCCUGUCCAGCAAUGGAUUUAAACAUGCAUAACUUUAAGACAAAUCAAUUUCCUCAAGGAGACUACUCAUAUUUUAAAAUAUAUGCAUAUGCUUGAGUCAGGGUCUGAGUGUUUCAGCUAUUCCUCCUUAGACUGUUUUUGGAUCAGAUCAAAUCAUGCUCUUGUGAGUCUCAUGAGUAAUCAUAUAGUCACGAAUCAUGCAUUCAACAAAACAGGACAAAUCAUCAGCUUUCUUUGUUGUACAGAUAAAUCAUCUGACUAUCUCUAGAAGUUUCUGAAUGAAUGAUUGCUUCUUGCCCACCAGCCAGUGUUUUUGCCUAGUCUGGAAUUAUUGGCCUCUGUAUCCCUCUUUCAGCUAUGUGAUGAAGGCCAUUCUGCCUGAUCUGGGCUUAUGGAUAGGACUGCAUCUUAUAGAAUAGGAGAUUUAUUACUUCUUGCAUUUAAAUGACUGGGAUAAAAUAUUGCAAACAGCAAAUGACACAUGAGAUUUGUCAGAUGAGGACAUUUAUAUAGGUGCCUCCUUUUCUGAGACUUACUGAAUUUCUCUGCCACUUUUUACAGUGAGUCACAGUUCUGCUUCUGUAGGAGAAACCACUGCACAUAGUAUUCUCAUUUAGAAAUGCCACAGAUGCCAGCAUAGAAAUCAGUACUAAUUUGUGAAGAUUUUACUCUGGCACUGCAUUCACACCAAUCCUCUGCCUACUCCUCAAAGAGCUGGCAAUCCCCAGACUUGGUUUGACUACUGAAUUGUGGCAUUACAUCCUUUGGAUUCUGUUUAUACUGGGAAAGCAUCUACCCCCACACACCGUGAUACAGCAACAAUUUUCACUGCAUGUGGGACUUAUGAUGGCAUCAUAUUGGACAAGAAUAUUUUCAUACUAAAGUACUAAAGAUGUUUUGAAGAUUUCAUUUGAACAAGCUACAUUCUAAAUAAGAAUCAUUUGACAGUAGCCUAGAUUAGAACUUGCUAAAAAUACAUCUGAAGCCCAAAGGGGAUGUCUGACAGCUUUUGACAUGGAGAAAAACAACUCAGAAUUUUAGUGCUCUUGAAAAGAAACGGUUUACAAAAUUCUCUGGCUAUUCACACAGCUCAUCAGCAUAAGACACAGAGCUUCUACCCAUUUGGAACCAAACUGGAGCCAACUAGACUUUGCAUCACUACCUAUCAUUCCUUUAGGCUAACAGUCCAGACAACUUUUCAGUCACUUUAUCAUCCAUCAAUCCAGACCAUAUCUCACCAGUGUGACCACAAGGAUACUGUAAGACACUAUGCUGAAGACCUCGGUAAGCAGAAACUGAAGACUUACAGAUGGUGAAGAUGUGAAAGAAGGAUUUAGGAUUGAUAAGCCUACACAGUCAUACUUGAAUGAAUUGCUUGCACUGGAGUUUGCUAUGGAAAUUAGAGUUUCUGAGACUGGAUUUUUUGUGUGACCAUGAGGAUAUUUUCCAAAUUAAAGAGUCAAAGAAGUAAAAUAAAAGUGUAAACUCACCAUUACUAUUUGGUGUUCAUGCUAAAGUUUCAAGAAGCUCAGAGUAGUGUGAUUUAUACCCUUCACAUUUAUUUUUCUUACUUUAUUGAUUGCAUGCACCUUCACAACAUUCUUAAACUGAACAACCAGAGGAUCAUUUUUGAAGAUUGAUUAUUGUCAUUGAACCUGCCUUUAUCUCCAGGAUUGUUAUGGUGACACAAAGGAAGUAUGAUUUAGAAUAGGAAGAGCAUAAAAGUUUAGUCAGAAAUCAUGUGAAUGUUAUUUGGUACUUCUGAUAGCCAAGAAAUGAAGUCUAUGACAUUAUUUUUACGGAUAUACAGACUGAUGAUCAAACAGUCAUCAGCAAAUCAGCCACUUCUGAAAGAUGCAUUCAUUCUAGCUUUAAAAAUUGGGGCAUUAAAAAUAUUGUUUACAUCAUAUUUUAGAGGCAAAAUGGAAACCAUACCUCCAUAUGACAAAAACGUAGAGGACAUUUAUUGACUGCUAGAAGUUUAAAUAUUACAGCACGUCACACCUCAGUUGGAAGUGUUAGACAUAACACCAAAUCAUUUCACCAAAGCAAUGCACAUACGAGCUUUUGGACAGACCUUUGCAUCUCACCACCACACUUUUCUUCCCAUAAAUUAGCAAAAAAAACAACUAAACCAUAUUAAAUAAAAUUCAAAAAGAGCUUUUGUCUUAGAAAAGCAUGAGUUGCUAACUGGUUAUUCCAGAAGCAGUCAGAUUAUAUAUAUAUUAUAUAUAUAUAUAUAUAUAUAUGAUUAUGCAUUAGUCACAACCAUUAAUUAUACCUGCUCCUUUUACUUGCACAAAGAUGACAAAAUUAAAUUCAGAGACUGGGAACUAUUCACCACCUAUAUAUGUUAAAUAAUUUUUUGCACCUGUGCAAGAUUAAGAACACUUUUUGUACUGUUAUAAAUUAAUUUUGUAUUCAUCUUGCUUUUGUGCAUGAGCACAAAAGAGAAUCAGCCUUCAGAACCUUUGUACUUUUCUUCUCCUUUUUACUUUUUUUUUUUUUCUGGUAAUGUCUAGAAUUCAAAAAAUUUCUACUUUUUUUUUUUUUUUUCUUACAGUCUGGUGAAUCUGAGGUAAUGAAAGCAAAUCUUUGGGCAAGCUCAUGGAACAGUUUAGGGGGUAGUUUCUUCAGGCGUAAAGCAUCUGACCUCAAGAAUCUGGCAGAUAUCACUGCAGCAUUAUUAGCAGUCACUCAGGUCUCCAGGCAGAUAUCAGUAAGUAGGAAUGGUCAUGCAUUUCAAUAUGUGCAGUUAACCUACUUAGAUUAGAAUUUAUUAUUUAUGAUGAUUAUCAGCACUGCAGAUCUUGUAAAUGGCAGUAGGUCAGUGCCAUGAUAAUAAUUAAGGAAUUCAUUAUAGGAUAAAAAAGGUAAGCUUCACUUUUCUCUUUUGAAACAGAAUCGAACAUAACAGUAAUUUGACUGAAGAAAUUGUUUCCAGAAAGAAGCUACAAAGGGUUUGGGGUUUAUUUUCCCCAUUUACUGUAUUCUGAAGCUGAUUUCACAGCCUUCUAUAUUCAUUGUAGCAGUAAUACUAAAAGGUCCCUGAAGCCUUCUUUUAAGAAGUUCAUUAAACUCUUAGUGAAGUUUUGUGUAUUUUUAUUCCCGCUAUAUUACAGAAUAAGACACAUAAUACCUCCAGGAGUCCGAAAUAUGGUAAAAAAAUCAUACAUGCAAAGCAUAUAAACUUUGUGCAGUUUGCUGUCUUUUUUAUUGCAUUGUUUGAUAAAGCUCCCUGUUGUUUGAACAUAUACAAUUCUUUAUUCUUUAAUAAUGGAACUUAAAUGUCAUGGAUGCCUUACAAAGCUUUUGUUUAUAAAUUUUAUUAGACAGAGAUAUGCUAAAUAUCUCGCAGGGGAUUUUGAUAUUGCUGCACAUUGGAAAACCACUGAAAAAUACCUAUGAAUUAAAUCAGCCUGAAGAUGAACCAUAUUUUGAGAUUAAAGAGAACAAGAAAUGUUUGCAAUUUACUGAAUAAAACACCUGUUACGAAUUAA